rnacentral:rRNA from 1 species
AACGAACGCUGGCGGCGCGUCUUAAGCAUGCAAGUCGAACGGCAAGAUUGGUGCUUGCACCGAUCCUAGAGUGGCGGACUGGUGAGUAACGCGUGGGUGACGUACCCUAAGGAUGGGGAGAGCUGGGAGAAAUAUCAGAUAAUACCGAAUAUCCUUAUUGUUGUUCGAGGACAGUAAGGAAAGGAGCUUUGGCUUCGCCCAAGGAUCGGCACGCGUACUAUUAGGUAGUUGGUGAGGUAACGGCUCACCAAGGCGACGAUAGUUACGCGGCCUAAGAGGGUGAACGGACACAUUGGGACUGAGAUACGGCCCAGACUCCUACGGGAGGCAGCAGCUAAGAAUAUUCCGCAAUGGAGGAAACUCUGACGGAGCGACGCCGCGUGGAUGAUGAAGGCCGGAAGGUUGUAAAAUCCUUUUAAGCAAGAAGAUUAAACUUUACAGGGAAUGGUAGAGUGGUGACGGUAUUGCUUGAAUACGCAACGGCUAAUUACGUGCCAGCAGCCGCCGCUGUAA